rnacentral:rRNA from 1 species
CAAUAGCGUAUAUUAAAGUUGUUGCAGUUAAAAAGCUCGUAGUUGGAUUUGUGGCGUACGGUGGGUUCCGGGCACUUGUUGUCUGAGUAACUUGCUGUUGCCAUCCUUGGGUGGAACCUGUGUGGCAUUAGGUUGUCGUGCAGGGGAUGCCCAUCAUUUACUGUGAAAAAAUUAGAGUGUUCAAAGCAGGCUUAUGCCGUUGAAUAUAUUAGCAUGGAAUAAUGAGAUAGGACUUUUUUGCUAUUUUGUUGGUUUGCGCAAAGAGGUAAUGAUUAAUAGGGACAGUUGGGGGUAUUCGUAUUCCAUUGUCAGAGGUGAAAUUCUUGGAUUUUCGGAAGACGAACUACUGCGAAAGCAUUUACCAAGGAUGUUUUCAUUAA